AUUGAACGCUGGCGGCAGGCCUAACACAUUCAAGUCGCACGAGUGGCGGACGGGUGAGUAAUGUCUGGGAAACUGCCCGAUGGAGGGGGAUACCUACUGGAAACGGUAGCUAAUACCUCAUACCAUCGGAUGUGCCCAGAUGGGAUUAGCUAGUAGGUGGGGUAACGGCUCACCUAGGCGACGAUCCCUAGCUGGUCUGAGAGGAUGACCAGCCACACUGGAACGGAGACACGGUCCAGACUCCUACGGGAGGCAGCAGUGGGGAAUAUUGCACAAUGGGCGCAAGCCUGAUGCAGCCAUGCCGCGUGUAUGAAGAAGGCCUUCGGGUUGUAAAGUACUUUCAGCGAGGAGGCGUUACUCGCAGAAGAAGCACCGGCUAACUCCGUGCCAGCAGCCGCGGUAAUAC
rnacentral:rRNA from 1 species